rnacentral:rRNA from 1 species
AACGAACGCUGGCGGCAUGCCUAACACAUGCAAGUCGAACGAGACCUUCGGGUCUAGUGGCGCACGGGUGCGUAACGCGUGGGAAUCUGCCCUCUGGUUCGGAACAACAGUUGGAAACGACUGCUAAUACCGGAUAAUGACUUCGGUCCAAAGAUUUAUCGCCUGAGGAUGAGCCCGCGUCGGAUUAGCUUGUUGGUGAGGUAAAAGCUCACCAAGGCGACGAUCCGUAGCUGGUCUGAGAGGAUGAUCAGCCACACUGGGACUGAGACACGGCCCAGACUCCUACGGGUGGCAGCAGUGGGGAAUAUUGGACAAUGGGCGAAAGCCUGAUCCAGCAAUGCCGCGUGAGUGAUGAAGGCCUUAGGGUUGUAAAGCUCUUUUACCCGGGAUGAUAAUGACAGUACCGGGAGAAUAAGCCCCGGCUAACUCCGUGCCAGCAGCCGCCGUAAUAC